UACAGAGGGUGCGAGCGUUAAUCGGAAUUACUGGGCGUAAAGCGUGCGUAGACGGUUAUUUAAGUCGGGUGUGAAAGCCCCGGGCUCAACCUGGGAAUUGCAUUCGAGACUGAAUAGCUAGGGUACGGUAGAGGGAAGCGGAAUUUCCGGUGUAGCGGUGAAAUGCGUAGAUAUCGGAAGGAACACCGAUGGCGAAGGCAGGUCUCUGGGCAUUAACUGACGCUGAGGAGCGAAAGCAUGGGGAGCGAACAGG
rnacentral:rRNA from 1 species